AUUGAACGCUGGCGGCAGGCUUAACACAUGCAAGUCGAGCGGAGAUGAGGUGCUUGCACCUUAUCUUAGCGGCGGACGGGUGAGUAAUGCUUAGGAAUCUGCCUAUUAGUGGGGGACAACAUUCCGAAAGGAAUGCUAAUACCGCAUACGUCCUACGGGAGAGAGCAGGGGAUCUUCGGACCUUGCGCUAAUAGAUGAGCCUAAGUCGGAUUAGCUAGUUGGUGGGGUAAAGGCCUACCAAGGCGAUGAUCUGUAGCGGGUCUGAGAGGAUGAGCCGCCACACUGGGAGUGGGACACGGCCCAGACUCCUACGGGAGGCAGCAGUGGGGAAUAUUGGAAAAUGGGGGGAACCCUGAUCCAGCCAUGCCGCGUGUGUGAAGAAGGCCUUAUGGUUGUAAAGCACUUUAAGCGAGGAGGAGGCUACUGAGACUAAUACUCUUGGAUAGUGGACGUUACUCGCAGAAUAAGCACCGGCUAACUCUGUGCCAGCCGCCGCCGUAAAAC
rnacentral:rRNA from 1 species